UCGACCUUGGCGGGAUCCACCGGUCGUUGAGGAAACCAUCGUGCCAGGAAAAAGCUACCGACCGCUGGCUCAAUCUGCUGGUAAUGGAGAUAAUAAUUAUUCUAGUUUAUAAAUAAAAUAUUUUAAAAUUAAUAAACUUAACCUUGCAUGCGAGGUACAGUUAGUUUGUGAAGAAAGUCAAUUGAGCCCCUCGGAUUAAUGUAAGAUUCUGAAAGAUCAGGCCUCCACGCGAGAGAUCACUUAUAUGCGACUUACGUGUGGGAAGUAACUUACGCACACUGGUUCACCCUAUUAAGUAUUUUGAUAUUUUUAUUUAAAGAUAAAUAUAUGUAUUUUAAGUGAUUCAA
rnacentral:misc_RNA from 1 species